UACAGAGGCCUCGAGCGUUAGGCGGAAUCACUGGGCUUAAAGCGUGUGUAGGCGGACUUCUAAGUGCCUUGUGAAAUCCCACGGCUCACCGGUGGAACUGCUGGGCAUACUGGGAGUCUUGAGCCACCUAGGGGCGAGCGGAACAAAUGGUGGAGCGGUGAAGUGCGUAGAUAUCGUCAGGAAUGCCGGUGGUGAAGACGGGUGACUGGGCUGGUUCUGACACUGAGGCACGAAAGCGUGGGGAGCGAACGGG
rnacentral:rRNA from 1 species